rnacentral:rRNA from 1 species
UUAUCGGAGAGUUUGAUCCUGGCUCAGGACGAACGCUGGCGGCGUGCCUAAUACAUGCAAGUCGAGCGGACAGAUGGGAGCUUGCUCCCUGAUGUUAGCGGCGGACGGGUGAGUAACACGUGGGUAACCUGCCUGUAAGACUGGGAUAACUCCGGGAAACCGGGGCUAAUACCGGAUGGUUGUUUGAACCGCAUGGUUCAAACAUAAAAGGUGGCUUCGGCUACCACUUACAGAUGGACCCGCGGCGCAUUAGCUAGUUGGUGAGGUAACGGCUCACCAAGGC